AGUGAACGCUGGCGGUAGGCCUAACACAUGCAAGUCGAACGGCAGCACAGUAAGAGCUUGCUCUUACGGGUGGCGAGUGGCGGACGGGUGAGGAAUACAUCGGAAUCUACUUUUUCGUGGGGGAUAACGUAGGGAAACUUACGCUAAUACCGCAUACGACCUACGGGUGAAAGCAGUGGAUCUUCGGACCUUGCGCGAUUGAAUGAGCCGAUGUCGGAUUAGCUAGUUGGCGGGGUAAAGGCCCACCAAGGCGACGAUCCGUAGCUGGUCUGAGAGGAUGAUAAGCCACACUGGAACUGAGACACAGUCCAGACUCCUACGGGAGGCAGCAGUGGGGAAUAUUGGACAAUGGGCGCAAGCAUGAUCCAGCCAUACCGAGUGGGUGAAGAAGGCCUUCGGGUUGUAAAGCCCUUUUGUUGGGAAAGAACAGCAGCAGGUUAAUACCACGCUGUUCUGACGGUACCCAGAGAAUAAGCACCGGCUAACUUCGUG
rnacentral:rRNA from 1 species